rnacentral:rRNA from 1 species
AUGGCCACCUGCCUCUCAGACAUGAUUAGUGAUCAUUCCCUUGAUUUCAUUGGUUUGCAAGAAACUAUGAAGAAAAACUUUACUCCUAAAUGCAUUAGAAGAAUUGACCCUUUUGGUUUAUUCCAUUGGGAAUGGAUACCAUCUGUUGGAAAAUCUGGUGGCAUCCUUGGGGGUGUGAGGCGGGAUACAAUAGAGAUCACUUCGUGUACCAAGAGGAAAUAUGCUUUACAGCUAACCCUGCAUGACAAGAAGAAAAAUGUUGACUUGGGCCUGCUGGUGGUCUAUGGGGCAGCCCAUGAGGAGUUUAAGGAGGAGUUUCUGGUAGAGCUCGCUGCUAGUUGUAGUAGCAUGACUAUUCCCUACAUUAUAGGGGGUGAUUUUAAUAUCCUGCGGCAUGGUGAUGAGAAAAAUAAAAAGAUGCAGAAUAAUAGAGCAACUGAUGUCUUCAAUUCCAUCAUCAAUGCUUUGGCCCUUAGAUAA